UGCAAGUCGAGGGGUAACAUUUAGUGCUUGCACAAGAUGACGACCGGCGCACGGGUGCGCACCGCGUAUGGAACCUACCUUGUACAGGGGAAUAGCCCAGGGAAACUUGGAUUAAUGCCCCGUAGUACCGUGACCCGGCAUCGGGAUACGGUUAAAGCCUUCGGGCGGUAUAAGAUGGCCAUGCGUCCCAUUAGCUUGUUGGUAAGGUAACGGCUUACCAAGGCUACGAUGGGUAGGGGCCCUGAGAGGGGGAUCCCCCACACUGGUACUGAGACACGGACCAGACUCCUACGGGAGGCAGCAGUGAGGAAUAUUGGACAAUGGAGGAGACUCUGAUCCAGCCAUGCCGCGUGCAGGAAGAAUGCCCUAUGGGUAGUAAACUGCUUUUAUACGGGAAGAAAAAAGAGUACGUGUACUCUACUGACGGUACCGUAAGAAUAAGGACCGGCUAACUCCGUGCCAGCAGCCGCGGUAAUACGGAGGGUCCGAGCGUUAUCCGGAAUUAUUGGGUUUAAAGGGUCCGUAGGCGGGCCGAUAAGUCAGGGGUGAAAGUUUGCAGCUCAACUGUAAAAUUGCCUUUGAUACUGUUGGUCUUGAGUUAUAGUGAAGUUGCCGGAAUAUGUAGUGUAGCGGUGAAAUGCAUAGAUAUUACAUAGAACACCGAUUGCGAAGGCAGGUGACUAACUAUAUACUGACGCUGAUGGACGAAAGCGUGGGGAGCGAACAGGAUUAGAUACCCUGGUAGUCCACGCCGUAAACGAUGGAUACUAGCUGUCCGAGGCCUUGAGUCUUGGGCGGCCAAGCGAAAGUGAUAAGUAUCCCACCUGGGGAGUACGUUCGCAAGAAUGAAACUCAAAGGAAUUGACGGGGGCCCGCACAAGCGGUGGAGCAUGUGGUUUAAUUCGAUGAUACGCGAGGAACCUUACCAGGGCUUAAAUGCAUAUUGACAGGUCUAGAGAUAGAUUUUCCUUCGGGCAAUUUGCAAGGUGCUGCAUGGUUGUCGUCAGCUCGUGCCGUGAGGUGUCAGGUUAAGUCCUAUAACGAGCGCAACCCCUACCGUUAGUUGCCAGCAUGUCAUGAUGGGGACUCUAACGGGACUGCCGGUGCAAACCGUGAGGAAAGUGGGGAUGACGUCAAAUCAUCACGGCCCUUACGUCCUGGG
rnacentral:rRNA from 1 species